rnacentral:sRNA from 1 species
CAAGACCGAUAGAGACUGCCGCCGUCAUCUGCGCCGACAUUCCCUGCGCAUACGUCAUGCCUUUUUUACCAAUUUUCUCACCGAUAGUGGUCGCCACGCGACGCCAGCCGAUCAUCGUACCAAUACCCAGCGCCAACGCCACUGCCAUAAUGAUCCACACCGGCGCAUACUCAAUGGUGCUUAACAUAUCGGUCUUCAG